rnacentral:rRNA from 1 species
UUGAACGCUGGCGGCAGGCCUCACACAUGCACGUCGAGCGGAUGAAGGGAGCUUGCUCCUGGAUUCAGCGGCGGACGGGUGAGUAAUGCCUAGGAAUCUGCCUGGUAGUGGGGGAUAACGUCCGGAAACGGGCGCUAAUACCGCAUACGUCCUGAGGGAGAAAGUGGGGGAUCUUCGGACCUCACGCUAUCAGAUGAGCCUAGGUCGGAUUAGCUAGUUGGUGGGGUAAAGGCCUACCAAGGCGACGAUCCGUAACUGGUCUGAGAGGAUGAUCAGUCACACUGGAACUGAGACACGGUCCAGACUCCUACGGGAGGCAGCAGUGGGGAAUAUUGGACAAUGGGCGAAAGCCUGAUCCAGCCAUGCCGCGUGUGUGAAGAAGGUCUUCGGAUUGUAAAGCACUUUAAGUUGGGAGGAAGGGCAGUAAGUUAAUACCUUGCUGUUUUGACGUUACCAACAGAAUAAGCACCGGCUAACUUCGUG